GCUCAGUGGUAGAGCGCUUGCCUAGCAAGCGCAAGGCCCUGGGUUUGGUCCCCAGCUCCGAAAAAAAAAAAGAGGAAAAUGGCUGCUGUUAUUUAUUUGUGCUGGUUGCCACAGAGUCCAAAGGGUGUUUAAGCGAGUCAGUCAGGAUCACUGACUUUCAUGUACAUGAAGGCCAAGAAAAACAAACCAUAAACUCAGUUCCAUCAUCAUACCCUGCUCGAUUGAUCCCAUCGCCUAAGCCAUCCUCUGGGUCUUGUUCAUUUUAUGUAAGAGAGAGCCAGGGUAGGGAACGCACGCACGCACGCACGCACGCACGCACGCACGCACGCACGCACGCACGCACGCACGCACGCACGCACGCACGCACGCACGCACGCACGCACUCAGAUCUCAGCAACUAGGAUGUGAAACAACAGAGCCCAGGUCUCCAAACCCAUGAGGACGGUUCCUUCAAACAGGGUUUAAGACAGUGGGGUUUGUGUUACACUGUACUGACCUGGUGAAUCUGUAGCCCUUGUAGACUACACUUGGACGAAACAACUAUGAACUCCAGGGACACAUGGAGGAACAGACAGGUGUCACCACAUGUGCUAGGCAUUUCUCUGAAAGGACAAUCAAUCAAUCAUCAAUCAAUAAGCCAAUAAAACCACCAGUAGUGUCCCUGUCAAAAUCCCAACAGUGUGACUGCCUGGAAUCAGAUCUGAAAAACGACACACCAACGGCCUACAGACAAGCCAACACAAGCGGGGACUUUUGCGAGGUCCAGCCCAGAUGGAGAGCUACAGGCACUGAGAAAGGAAGGAAGACAUCUUCUCUGGGGACGAGCCCCUGACAGGAACCAGCAAAUCACAAAUGCGGAGAACCACCGUUCCACCGGAAAGGUGUUUUAAAACUUCCAGUGGUAAGAAAUAGAGAAAUAUUUACUGGUUCUCACA